GACGAACGCUGGCGGCGUGCCUAAUACAUGCAAGUCGAACGGUCUUUUCUAUGGAAGCUUGCUUCCACUGAGAAGAUAGUGGCGAACGGGUGAGUAACACGUGGGUAACCUGCCCAUAAGAGGGGGAUAACAUCCGGAAACGGGUGCUAAUACCGCAUAGUUUUCUUGAUCGCAUGAUCGAGAAAGGAAAGACGGCCUUUGUGCUGUCGCUUAUGGAUGGACCCGCGGCGUAUUAGUUAGUUGGUGAGGUAACGGCUCACCAAGACGAUGAUAGGUAGCCGGCCUGAGAGGGGGAUCGGCCACAUUGGGACUGAGACACGGCCCAAACUCCUACGGGAGGCAGCAGUAGGGAAUCUUCCGCAAUGGACGAAAGUCUGACGGAGCAACGCCGCGUGAGUGAAGAAGGUUUUCGGAUCGUAAAACUCUGUUGUCAGAGAAGAACAAGUCGGAGAGUAACUGCUCCGGCCUUGACGGUAUCUGACCAGAAAGCCACGGCUAACUACGUGCCAGCAGCCGCCGUAAAAC
rnacentral:rRNA from 1 species